AAAUUUUCGGGGUGUUACAAAUAUGCUCUUACAAAAUUUACUCUUUGUUCUCUAAAAAUACAUAUCAUGAAAAGGAAAAGGUUAUUUACAAGGGAAUAAGUUACCAAUAACCUUUUACUCGUAUGUUAAAAAAGGAGGGAGGGGGGACAUUUUAUACACACAUGGUUAACAAUAUACAGAUGCAAUCUCUACAAUAAUAAAAUUGCAAAGAUGUAUCCUUUCCCCCAGUUCCGAAAGAAUCAGAUUACACUUUUUUAGGACUGAAUCUAUUAUCUCAGGAGUCAGGCCAUCGUCGUUUCUCACAAAAUUUACUAGCUGCUCCCGCCCGUGAUGAAAACCUUAUUUUGGUU
rnacentral:misc_RNA from 1 species